CCGACACUCGCGCUACUACUCCUGCGCUCUGCUCGGCCAGGUGAAAUAGAUACGAGGAAAAAAUGUGUCUCGAUGCCUAUCGUCGCAAGAUGCACAGCGCUGUACCCGUUGUCAGAAUAGUAUCCGGUUCAGUGGAAGGACCUCGCGAUGGUCAGACACCCAUGCGAUAUUUACAACGUUAAUAAUUACACGUCGUUCCAUGGUGUCUGUUUCCUAUCGUUGCAAGAUGCACAACGCUAUACCUACGUGCGAGCAUUACAGUAUGUAUUACUGUUAAGUAGAAAGAUCACGCGAUAGUCAGACAUCCUACUCUGCCACAUCCGCGCGGAAUCAUAAAUAGAAGAGAAAAAUAUCGA